ensembl:lncRNA
ACAGACACACACACUCACACACACAAUCACACACACACAAUCAAACACACACACAAUCACACACACACAAUCAUACACACACAAUCCUAAACAGACACACACAAUCACACACACAAUCAUACACACACAAUCCUAAACAGACACACACAAUCACACACACACAAUCAUACACACACAAUCACACACACACAAUCAUACACACACAAUCCUAAACAGACACACACAACACACACACAAUCACACACAAAUCUUAAACAGACACACACAGACACACACAAACACACACACACACACACACACAAUCACACACACAAUCACACACACAAUCCUAAACAGACACACAAUCACACACACACAAUCAUACACAGACACACACAAUCAUACAUAGACACACACAAUCACACACACACAAAAUCGGACAGACACACAUACACACACAAUAAUACACAGACACACACAAUCACACACACACAUUAAUACAAACAAACACACACAAUCAUCUAAACACAAACACACAAGCAUCUAAACACACACACACAAUCACACACACACAAUCACACAAUAAUAUAAACACACACACAAAAUCAAACAGACGCACACAAUCACACACACACAAUAAUACAAACAAACACACACACACAAUCAUAUAAACACAUACACACAAUCAUAUAAAACACGCUCACAAUCUUAGACACACACACACACACACAAUCAUAUACACUUACACAAUUAUAUACACACACACAAAGCUUUCAUCGGUCUAAUGUUUGUAUGAAAUCCUCAGGUCCCAAAUAAGCCUUAAGUCUUUAUGAUUCUUUUUCCUUGUAAUUCAAGUGAGAUAUCUAUCUAUGUGUUCCCCUUUGCUCCCCUCGCCCUCAGUGUUGUAUGGAUAAGCCCCCGUCCCUCUCUCUGACCCACAAACCGCUCGCCUGUCGUUUAAAUUAUUGUUCAGCUUUGGCCCAUUCUGUUUCACGUCAACAACUUUGGGCUUUUGGUCUCAGAGAGGACUCGCCUUGUGUUUUCCUAUUUGUCUUUUCAUGAUUGCAUUGUGGUCUGUGGCCGUGAACAGUGGUGACCGGUUUCUUUUCUAACAUCGCUUCAAUACAAACGAAGGGAGUGGUGUCUGACUGUCAACAGUGGUUUGGCAUGAGUCCCUCUAUUGCUUAAGGAUGUUUGGAUGAUUCAACCUGCUUUUAAUAAAUACAAAGUCAUUUUCU